UACGUAGGGUGCAAGCGUUAAUCGGAAUUACUGGGCGUAAAGCGUGCGCAGGCGGUUUUGUAAGUCUGUCGUGAAAUCCCCGGGCUCAACCUGGGAAUUGCGAUGGAUACUGCAAGGCUAGAAUCUGGCAGAGGGGGGUAGAAUUCCACGUGUAGCAGUGAAAUGCGUAGAUAUGCGGAGGAACACCGAUGGCGAAGGCAAUCCCCUGGGCCUGCACUGACGCUCAUGCACGAAAGCGUGGGGAGCAAACAGG
rnacentral:rRNA from 1 species